rnacentral:rRNA from 1 species
CAGCAGCCGCGGGAAUACGUAGGUGGCAAGCGUUGUCCGGAAUUAUUGGGCGUAAAGCGCGCGCAGGUGGUUUAAUAAGUCUGAUGUGAAAGCCCACGGCUCAACCGUGGAGGGUCAUUGGAAACUGUUAAACUUGAGUGCAGGAGAGAAAAGUGGAAUUCCUAGUGUAGCGGUGAAAUGCGUAGAGAUUAGGAGGAACACCAGUGGCGAAGGCGGCUUUUUGGCCUGUAACUGACACUGAGGCGCGAAAGCGUGGGGAGCAAACAGGAUUAGAUCCCGCGUAGUCCCUGUCUCUUAUACA